GUUAAUAUUUAUUUGGGAAAUUAUCAAUGGUGCCCUUGUACUAUUGAAAAAUUACAAUGGUAUCCAACUGCAUUUCAGUGGUACCCCCAAUUAUAUGGUAAUUACAACCGUGACCUUAAUGAUGAAUUUUCCGUUAAAUGUCCGUUAAAUUUGGAAUUUAACCUAACCAUGGUUAGUUUCUUCUUCUUCUUCCCUUUUCUCUUUCAUGGCUGCUCUUCUUCCAUGGCUUAAUAUUGCUCCAUAGUUGAUAGUUGAUUGCUUCCCUCCUUCCUUUGGUGAUUGGUGAACGCGUUUCAACUUCUCAUUCUCUCUCUUCCCCUUUAGCUUAAUCCCCUCUUCUAAUCCUGAUUCAAGAUGAGAAAUAAUUUGUGGGUAUUCAAUGGAAUGAUGAUGAAAUUGCCCAUUUUGUUGUUACUGUUUUUUCAUCUACAACUUCUUCCUUGUUGUUCCAUGAAUUCUGAAGGAAUAGCUUUGUUGGAAUUUUAAAAAAUGGUGGAAGAAGAUCCUUUUAAUGCCCUUUCUGAUUGGAAUUCUGAUAAAAAUCAUUGUUUUUGGUUUGGAGUUUAUUGCUCUGAUGGAAAUGUUGUUAUUCUGUAAGUUCUUCAUUUUGAUCUCUUUUCAUUUUUCUGUUUAUUUGCUCAUGACUUUUAUGCUGAUUAAAAUCUCAACUCACUUGCCGAA